AUACGGAGGGGGCUAGCGUUGUUCGGAAUUACUGGGCGUAAAGCGCGCGUAGGCGGUCCGCGUAGUCAGGCGUGAAAGCCCCGGGCUCAACCUGGGAACUGCGUUUGAUACUGGCGGACUAGAGUCCGGGAGAGGGUAGUGGAAUUCCCAGUGUAGAGGUGAAAUUCGUAGAUAUUGGGAAGAACACCAGUGGCGAAGGCGGCUACCUGGACCGGUACUGACGCUGAGGUGCAAAAGCGUGGGGAGCAAACAGGAUUAGAUACCCCGGUAGUCC
rnacentral:rRNA from 1 species